rnacentral:lncRNA from 1 species
CCUGCACUUUUCUGCAGUGUGGGAGCCUAUUCCUGAUAGCAGCACUGCACAUCAGUGGAGAGAAAAGAGUACUUCAAGGAAGACUUUAUUGCCACUGGGAAAGCCAUGUGUAAGCCAGGAAGUACUCAAAAUAACUUCAG